GUGUACUGCUAGUAGAAAACAAAAGAAAUCAAAAAGUUCAAUGUCCAGUUUUCUAAGGUUUUAUAUAACACUGUGAAAAAUAAAAGCUCAUUUUUUUUUGGGUACCAGGGAUUGAACUUGGGACCUUGCGCUUGCGAGGCCAGCACCGAAACCACUGAGCUAAAUCCCCGGCCCAAAAGCUCAUCUAUUUACCUGGAACUGCCAUCGCUAUGCCACGCUCUCUCUUCCUCUUCAGACGUCCCACCACUGACAGCAACUACUUCGCCUUCCUAAAGGACAAUGAAGACAUACUAUGUGUAAUCUCAUGAUUAUAAAACAUUCUAGUGAUAUACCAAACAUGUAAGGAUAUUUAGAAUAAAAUGAUUUCAAUUAGUUGUAAAGUACAGCUUUUACAUUUUUAUUAAAAAGUAAGAAAUGUAUGUAUCUAAAGGCAUAAUACUAAUACCACAUUCAGAGCAUCUUUCAGGUGUUUUUUUUUUUUUUCUGGUACUGGGGAUUGAACUCGGGGCCUUUGCACUGAAGUAUAUCCUCAGCCCUUUUUGCUUUUAGUCAGAGUCUCCCUAAGUUGCCUGGCCUGGGGUUGAACCUGAGGUCCUCCUGCUUCAACCUCCCAGAGCGCAGUGAUUACAGGCAUGGACCACCAUGUCCAGCUGUGUUCUUUAACACAAAAUCUUACACAAUUUCUUUAUGCAUCAACAACUAUAGCUCCUCCUGUUUAUUACACUUUUACUGAAGCCAGCAACUUUAUGGUUCAUUUAGAUGAUUCCUUACAGGAUAAUAAAAUAUAUUCCUUUACAAUUUAAAUAGAAUAUAGUUUGGGAGAAAAGUCUUCCCAUUUUGAUGUCAUAAAGAAUGUGAACUGUAUGACUAUUCCAAAGAAUUCUGAAAACUAAGCAAGUAUGAAACGAUCAAAAUCCAAUAGUGAAUAAUUUAGCAAAUUUAAUCUUUACUCAAAACAACUGAAAUCAUAACAAAUUAUGAUUGUUUCCCUUUUUUAUGUUACUUCCUUAAAGGGAAAGAAAGAAUUACUUCUACAUUCUGAAUACAAUUCCAUUAAUCCAGAACGAAUGGGUUUCUCCCUGCAACCUGUCAAUCAAACAGAGGUGGCCAAUCACCACUCUGAAUUUUUUGCUCUCAGUGUUUCUUCACACUAUGUUCCAGUAGAAAACUUCUUUAGCAGUAUUCUGAAAGAGGUAAAAAUUCUACCCUAUCUAAAGCACAUCUAG
rnacentral:lncRNA from 1 species